CUUCUUCAGAGAUCAUGCAGAACAGCUCAGCUUGGAGAAAGUCCUGAAGUUAACCCAACCAACUUGGAUAGGAAGGGCAGCAGCUUGGCUUUGUGGACAUGAGGCAGGAAGGUGGUGGGAGUUUUGUUCCUCACCUAGGGAUAACACAGAAGCUUAUAAACACACCUGACUUUCUAUUUUUUUCUUAUGAACUGUACCCAAGGAAGUGGUACCACCAAGCAGCUAUCUCCACCCUCUGUUGGGAUUGGACUCUGUAGUUUUCGAUGUACUGAUGACCAAGGCAUAUCAGAAACUUUUGUGAAUAUGGGGCCAAGUAAGAUUAAACAGAAUUCAGACCAGUGAUCAAGAAGCGAAGGGUUGCUCACUCAUUAACAACUCCCUGAGCCAUCACUUUUCCAAGAGCAUUAGGUUUUGUAGGAAUGUCAGGAAAUAUGCAGAAGUUGUGGUGUAAUGUAUGCUUAAGAUGUUGAUGGUCUUUCAAGUUUGAAUGUCUUUGAGCUACUGUAAUUAGUCAGCAGAAGUAUUUAAGAUGCUUUCUUGAAGCAAGUUAAACACUGUUUCCAUUACACGUCACUCAUCAAAGACAGCACCUGAAAUGUGUAUCUGCAGCAUAGCAUCUGGACACUGUUUAUUUUACCCCCAACUUCACUGUAGCUGCAUUCCCCAAAUUUAAUAAUGUUGUGUUAGAACAAGUUGUGCCCAGGGUAACCUGAGUCAGUGAGCAGCAAUUUAGUUUAUGGAAGAGGCACACUGUGUCUCUCCUUCCCUUCCCUCCAAAUGUAGAUUAAAUGAAAAUCUUUCUUACAGAUUGAGUGAAUGCUUUCUAGGAUUUUGUAUCAUAUUGUCAUGGUGUAAACUUGUGUAUUUGGGUCACUGUGUAUUUGUUCUAAGAUGCAAAGAUGAACUGAGCAGAAGUGAAUAUACUCCUCUACAUGUACGUAUGGACAACUACAUAAUUCACUGAGAUAAAAAAGAAAAAAGCUGAAGCACAGCUGGUGCAAACAGGAUGGCUGUGAUAGUGUGUGUGUGUAAAGGCAUCGCUUUUACUGUUUGCAGUUCAGUAAUACAUCCAAUGCCAUAUACAAAGGCCACACAGUAGGAAAUGCUCUCAUGUGCAGCAACACACAGUUUGGUUCUUUGUGACAUGGUGCAAGAAAAUAUGCAGAGGUAGCAUGCAAAAAUACAAGAAGGAUAUAUCCAAAUCUGCACAUGGCAUAGGAAUUCAUGCUGAUGCCAAGGGCCACUUUGUUAUACCUUACAUGCUAAUGAAAGGGAAAGGCAAACAACAUCCCAGAGACACCCCAAACUCUCUAGCUGAAUAUUGACCUCCUUAGCUCCCAGAAUAAAACAGAAAGAGUAAAUAUCAGGUGCUGAAAGAAUUCUAUGCCUGAUGUUAAGCACUGUCAGUAGAGUUCCCCAGAUAUCAUAGGGUGGAAUAAGCCUUGACCACAAUAGCUUACUUUCUUGUUUUAUUUUCAGUCUGCUAUAAAGUGGCUAUAUGGAGAACAGGCUGAUACAU
rnacentral:lncRNA from 7 species